GACUGUUUAUCAAAAACACAGGGCUCUGCGAAGCCGCAAGGCGACGUAUAGGGUCUGACUCCUGCCCAGUGCCGGAAGGUUAAGAGGAGAGGUGCAAGCCUUGAAUCGAAGCCCCGGUGAACGGCGGCCGUAACUAUAACGGUCCUAAGGUAGCGAAAUUCCUUGUCGGGUAAGUUCCGACCUGCACGAAUGGAGUAACGACUUCCCCGCUGUCUCCACAAUAGACUCAGUGAAAUUGAAUUCUCCGUGAAGAUGCGGAGUUCGCGCGGCUAGACGGAAAGACCCUGUGAACCUUUACUGCAGCUUUGCUGUGGCGUUAUCGACGAUUUGUGUAGGCUAGGUGGGAGGCUUUGAAGCGGAGGCGUCAGCUUUCGUGGAGCCGCAAGAUGAAACACCACCCUGAUUUUCGGUGACGUCUAACCGCGAUCCAUCAUCUGGAUCCGGGACCCAGCAUGGCGGGCAGUUUGACUGGGGCGGUCGCCUCCCAAAGAGUAACGGAGGCGCGCG
rnacentral:rRNA from 1 species